rnacentral:lncRNA from 1 species
CCAAAACGUGCCAGGGUUGACUCCACUUUUGGGGUCGACUCAUACUCUGUGCCAAGUAUGUCACUCCGUGCCAGUGCAUGCCAUAUAUAUCAGGGUCGAUUCCAAACCUCUUUGAGGUCGACUCAACUCACAAUUUCUUGCAUCUUAAGGUUAGACUAAUUCAUAGGAUCAAUAGAACAUAUUUCAAAUAAUUUUGAAUGUAUGGUACGAUAGAGCUUCAUACCCUUAACAAUAAAAUUACAAAUUUGCCCUUAAGAGUAUACUUCACUUGAAACUUUGCCGAAAUAGAUAUUAAAAGCUCUCUAUCAUUUUCUACUACAUAUUUUAUCUCAUUGUUAAUCAUUGUGAGUCGUCUUGAUCUCAUUUUCUCAAUUUAUCGUGAGCGUAUCGAGGGUGUGGUAUUCAUUAGUAAUGUAUCAAGUUAAACUGUAUUAUUAAUUUGAUAUUUCCUCAAUUGUUGUGUUAAUUAUCGAAAUAACAUUAUCAUUCUCAAUCUCUCGCUUUUUGAUGAUUACAAAACAUUGAGUAUCCUUAAGUUGACAUUUAUAUAUGAAUUGAGGUUUAAAGUUUAGAAAAUAGUUUAAAGGAUGAAA